GUUGGUGGCAUGCACAUUUUAGUACCUGUGGUCUAGCACGUAGCCUUUGUCAGCGUCACUCACCGUGUUAUGUUUUGUUCAGGCUCACACCUUGCCCACCCAGGGUCUGAGCCCAUUGUGCUAACCAUGGUGGUGGUCAUAGUGGGGGUGCAAGUAGCAAAGUCUUCAGUUUUCUUUGCUUCCCGACAGAGCAUGGUUGAAAUCACUGCGCCCCUUUCUCUUCUUCGAGGGGCUGGGAGAGAAUAAUGAAUGCGUCCUUUGUUCUGAUGCAUCUUUCUGUUUCCCACACAGGAAGAAACUGACAGCUGCCGGUCAGUGGGUUUUCCUGAGCCUCACCUUCCCCCUGGUUAGAUCCCUCACCGUGGCAGCAACCCUGUGCUGUGGAGGUUGACAGCAGCGCAUGUGGCCACUGGACAGCAUGAAGGGUGGAGGCAGCUGAGACCAGGCAGAUGGAGCGGACAGAAGCCAGGCUAGCAUAGAACCUACGUACAUCUUUCCGUGUAGUCUGAUCAUAUCUAGGCUACUUAUAAUACCUAGUGCAGUGUAAAUGCCAUAUCAUCGUUGUGAUAUCCUAUUGUUUAGAGAAUAAUGGCCAGAAAGAUCAUCUAUACGUGUUCAGCAUAGAUGGAAUUUUUAAAAUAUUUCUGAUCUGUGAUUGAUUGUGGACGUGAACCCUGCUGCUACGGAGGGCCGGUCGUGCUUGUCUAAAGCGUAAAGGACAUCAGCUGAAACACGAAGUCCCUUAUUGUCCUCACAUUAGUUCUCUGGCCGAAGAUUCUCCCUUGCUAAUGAGCUGUCGGGAUUUGGCGUCCACGCUGAUCUGCUCACAGUGUGCAACGGGCUAAAUGAUGUGGAAGAGAUCGGCCUACAGAAUGUGACGCAAUGGACGCCUUACUGCUAGAAAGCACUUGGCUUCUCUUCCCUGAUGCCUGGUGUGGAUGCUGUUGGGUCAGCACCCCUUGCCAGUGGAGAUGUGCUCUCCCAGCUGCGACUGUCACCCUUCUUGUCAAUGAAGGGUCAUGGAGCAGCAUGUGCUGGGAGAUACUCACUUGAAACUGAUCAGAAAAGCGGUCCUGACGUCAAGGGACAACAUGGUAACAAUUGGAAGAGCUUCCGGGGCUUUAUUAUGGGUUCCAGGACUGGCCACACUUCAUGCAUGGAACAGAGUGCUCCAACAGGCUGAGUGAAGGAGACUGGUUUAUAGACAGAUCAGAGCUGAAGAAAGCGGAAACAAAGAAUGGCAGGUGGGGGUCGAUCAUGUCAAAGUUACUUCUCUUGCAAGAGGUGAGUGGGGAGACAGAACAAUAGAAAAACAAGGAACUGGUAGGCAUCAGGCUCCUGCAGGGGCAACUUUCCUGUUCAGGUUACUUUCGUGUGAGGAUUAAGGCAGGAGCAGCUUCAUUACCCACCAGCAGAAACUGGCUUGUUCAGGAACUUUGUUACCUCGCUCAUCCCGAUUUCUUGGAAGCUCCGAUAAACAGCUGGGUUUCAGCUUGGUGAUGUGGAAGUUGAGCAUGAAUGACUUUUUACUUUUAUUUGUUGACUUGGUUACUUAUGUUUUUAAAGAUCCUCUUUAAAGAUUUUAUUUAAAACAUUUUUAAGAUUUAUUUUUAUUUAUUUAUUUUGAGAGAGAGAGGUCUGCCAUGCACUGGUUCACUCCCCCAGUGUCUGCAGCACGAGGGCUGGGCCAGGCCUCGUUCAGGAGCCUGGGAUUCAAUCCAAGUCUCCCACGUGGGUGGCAGGGAUCCAAGUAUUUGCGCCAUCAUCCACUCCCUCCCAGGAUGCACGUUAGCAGGAAGCUGGAAUCAGAAGCAAAGCCAGGACUCACACCCUGGCGCUUCAACAUGGGAAGUGGGUCCCCCACGUGCUGUACCACACGCUUGCCCCUCCCCCCACCUUUUUAAUCUUUAAUCUGCUGUGUUGGAGCCCAGUAUAGGAUCUUACCCAAAGUGAUAGUCUCCUGUGAUUUUUAUUUAGCAAUGGUUAUACAAACAGCUUCAUCUUAAUAUAACACAUUAACAGUGAUAUAUUCUGAAUUCUGUUCACUUUUUGUUGAAUUCACCUUUUGAGAUUUGCAUGUUUUUUAAUUCAUGGUGUUUCUCAAAAAUCCAGGACUUCAGCGUAGUUCAUCGGCACGAUAAUAUGGCAGAACUCACUUUUCUGUUCCCCUGGGCAGAAGAAUUAACGUCUAUAAAGCUGACGGCUGUGUUCCUAUGAUUCUCAAGCAGUUGGUUCAUUUCCUCACUGCGUUCUUCUAAUAAAUGCCAUGAAAAACAGACCAUCAGACUUGUUGUUUCCUGCCAUUUUUGAAUCCGUGAGAUGUGUCAAGGUCUAGAACACAGUGGAGCCUUUUUUUUUUUUUCCCUGCAGUAACCAUGAUGCAGGGGACGGUCAAGGAGAAAAGGGGGAAUUGCAGGGGUCUGGAGUCAGCCCUUGGCCGACGUGAAGCCUCCUCCCAGAGCACCUCGCUGCACUUCAGUCAUGAGGAUGGCUUUGACUGAAGCAGACGAUGGGUGCUGUUGUACAGAACCGUCCCUUUUCUAGGCAAGAGAAACUGAGGAAGUCAAGUCAAGCUUGCUCUCAGGCCUUGAAAACCUUUGGCUCUAUUCCCAGGGAGCAAGGCCAGGGGGAUGCCUCAAAUGUCUCUGAUGGGGUUUAGCAGGCAGCUGGAAAUUCAUGGGUCAGCUAUGGA